GUAGGUGAACCUGCGGAAGGAUCAUUAUUGAAUGAAUGUAGAGUUGGUUGUCGCUGGCCUUUGUUGGCAUGUGCACGCCUUCUCUUUCAUCCACACACACCUGUGCACCUGUGAGACGGAGAGCUUGCCCUUUUGCGAGGGUGUUUUCUCCGUCUGCCAAUACACAAACUCAUAUAUUUAAUUUGAAUGUAAUUGAUGUAACGCAUCUAUAAACUAAGUUUCAACAACGGAUCUCUUGGCUCUC
rnacentral:misc_RNA from 1 species